rnacentral:rRNA from 1 species
AGAAUCAACGCUGGCGGCGUGCCUAACACAUGCAAGUCGAACGAGAAAGUGGAGCAAUCCAUGAGUAAAGUGGCGCACGGGUGAGUAACACGUGACUAACCUACCUUUUAGUGGGGGAUAACCUAGGGAAACCUGGGCUAAUACCGCAUAAUACCUACGGGUCAAAGCAGCAAUGCGCUGAAAGAGGGGGUCGCGGUCGAUUAGUUAGUUGGCAGGGUAAUGGCCUACCAAGACUGUGAUCGAUAUCCGGCCUGAGAGGGCGCACGGACACACUGGAACUGAAACACGGUCCAGACUCCUACGGGAGGCAGCAGUGGGGAAUUUUGCGCAAUGGGGGAAACCCUGACGCAGCAACGCCGCGUGGAGGAUGAAGUCCCUUGGGACGUAAACUCCUUUCGAUCGGGACGAUAAUGACGGUACCGGAAGAAGAAGCCCCGGCUAACUUCGUGCCAGCAGCCGC